GAGUUUGAUCGUGGCUCAGAUUGAACGCUGGCGGCAUGCCUUACACAUGCAAGUCGAACGGCAGCAUGAUCUAGCUUGCUAGAUUGAUGGCGAGUGGCGAACGGGUGAGUAAUACAUCGGAACGUGCCCUGUAGUGGGGGAUAACUAGUCGAAAGAUUAGCUAAUACCGCAUACGACCUGAGGGUGAAAGUGGGGGACCGCAAGGCCUCAUGCUAUAGGAGCGGCCGAUGUCUGAUUAGCUAGUU
rnacentral:rRNA from 1 species